GAAUUCAAUUUACUUAUCCGAUCGUAUAAAAAAUGAUUUGUGUAUGUUGGUUGAGAUUGCACGCUUAAUUUUCAUGCAUCAAUUUAACGCUAGAAUAUAAGGGAGUUUCACCUAAUCGUUAUGAACUUAUAUUCACAAGUAGUGAAGGUUGCUAGUCACAAUCACGUUAAGUAAAUUCUUGGCAUAAGUUUCAUGUAAAUCAUAGUAACGAGUGCCUCGUCAAUGCUUAUGUUUUUUCAUAGAA
rnacentral:lncRNA from 1 species